rnacentral:tRNA from 1 species
GCGGGUGUAGCUCAGUGGUAGAGCAUCAGCUUCCCAAGCUGAGGGUCGCGGGUUCAAGUCCCGUCACCCGCU